AUCAGAUUAUCUUGAGUACCAAAAUGUUCUCUGUAGCUCUGCUGCUCCUGCUGGCUGCUGGAUCCUGUGUGAAGUGUGAACAGCUGACACAGCCAGAGUUUGUGACUGUGCAGCCAGGUCAGCGCCUGACCAUCACCUGUCAGGUCUCUUAUUCUCUGAGCUACUAUCGGACAGCUUGGAUCAGACAGCCUGCAGGGAAAGGACUGGAGUGGAUUGGAAGUGUACGUGAUGGAUACAACACAUAUUACAAAGAUUCACUAAAGAACAAGUUCACCAUCAACUUAGACACUUCAAGCAAGACAGUGACUCUAAAUGGACAAAAUAUGCAGGCUGAAGACGCUGCUGUGUAUUACUGUGCCAGAGAGUCACAGUAG